rnacentral:rRNA from 1 species
GUUAGGAAUAUUGGACAAUGGGCGAAAGCCUGAUCCAGCCAUGUCGCGUGAACGAUGAAGGCCUUCGGGUUGUAAAGUUCUUUAGCCGAUGAUUAUAAUGACUGUAGUCGGAAAAUAAGCCCCGGCUAACUUCGUGCCAGCAGCCGCGGUAAUACGAAGGGGGCGAGCGUUAUUCGGAAUCACUGGGCGUAAAGCGUGCGUAGGCGGUUUUGUAAGUUAGGAGUGAAAGCCCAGGGCUCAACCUUGGAAUUGCUCUUAAAACUGCAAGGCUCGAAUCUCGGAGAGGAUAGCGGAAUUUCCAGUGUAGCAGUGAAAUGCGUAGAUAUUGGAAGGAACACCAGUGGCGUAAGCGGCUAUCUGGACCGAUAUUGACGCUGAGGCACGAAAGCGUGGGGAGCAAACAGGAUUAGAAACCCGUGUAGUCC